GCAUGCGGAUUAAUUCGAUGCAACGCGAAGAACCUUACAAGGCUUGACAUACACCGUAAGCCCAGAGAUGGGUGCCCCUUUGUGGUCGGUGUACAGGUGGUGCAUGGUUGUCGUCAGCUCGUGUCGUGAGAUGUUGGGUUAAGUCCCGCAACGAGCGCAACCCUCGACCUUAGUUGCCAGCAUUCAGUUUGGGCACUCUAAGGUGACUGCCGGCUAAAAGGUCGGAGGAAGGUGGGGAUGACGUCAAAUCAUCAUGCCCCUUAUGACCUGGGCUACACACGUGCUACAAUGGGCGGUACAAAGGGUCGCGAACCCGCGAGGGGGAGCCAAUCCCAAAAAGCCCGCUCUCAGUUCGGAUUGCAGGCUGCAACUCGCCUGCAUGAAGCCGGAAUCGCUAGUAAUCGCGGAUCAGCAUGCCGCGGUGAAUACGUUCCCGGGCCUU
rnacentral:rRNA from 1 species